GAGUAAUGUCUGGGAAACUGCCUGAUGGAGGGGGAUAACUACUGGAAACGGUGGCUAAUACCGCAUAACGUCGCAAGACCAAAGAGGGGGACCUUCGGGCCUCUUGCCAUCAGAUGUGCCCAGAUGGGAUUAGCUUGUUGGUGAGGUAACGGCUCACCAAGGCGACGAUCCCUAGCUGGUCUGAGAGGAUGACCAGCCACACUGGAACUGAGACACGGUCCAGACUCCUACGGGAGGCAGCAGUGGGGAAUAUUGCACAAUGGGCGCAAGCCUGAUGCAGCCAUGCCGCGUGUAUGAAGAAGGCCUUCGGGUUGUAAAGUACUUUCAGCGGGGAGGAAGGUGUUGUGGUUAAUAACCGCAGCAAUUGACGUUACCCGCAGAAGAAGCACCGGCUAACUCCGUGCCAGCAGCCGCGGUAAUACGGAGGGUGCAAGCGUUAAUCGGAAUUACUGGGCGUAAAGCGCACGCAGGCGGUCUGUCAAGUCGGAUGUGAAAUCCCCGGGCUCAACCUGGGAACUGCAUUCGAAACUGGCAGGCUUGAGUCUUGUAGAGGGGGGUAGAAUUCCAGGUGUAGCGGUGAAAUGCGUAGAGAUCUGGAGGAAUACCGGUGGCGAAGGCGGCCCCCUGGACAAAGACUGACGCUCAGGUGCGAAAGCGUGGGGAGCAAACAGGAUUAGAUACCCUGGUAGUCCACGCCGUAAACGAUGUCUACUUGGAGGUUGUGCCCUUGAGGCGUGGCUUCCGGAGCUAACGCGUUAAGUAGACCGCCUGGGGAGUACGGCCGCAAGGUUAAAACUCAAAUGAAUUGACGGGGGCCCGCACAAGCGGUGGAGCAUGUGGUUUAAUUCGAUGCAACGCGAAGAACCUUACCUGGUCUUGACAUCCACGGAAGAAUUCAGAGAUGGAUUUGUGCCUUCGGGAACCGUGAGACAGGUGCUGCAUGGCUGUCGUCAGCUCGUGUUGUGAAAUGUUGGGUUAAGUCCCGCAACGAGCGCAAC
rnacentral:rRNA from 2 species